AUUGAACGCUGGCGGCAGGCCUAACACAUGCAAGUCGAGCGAGCGGCGGACGGGUGAGUAAUGUAUGGGGAUCUGCCCGCUAGAGGGGGAUAACUACUGGAAACGGUGGCUAAUACCGCAUACUAUCGGUUGAACCCAUAUGGGAUUAGCUAGUAGGUGGGGUAAAGGCUCACUUAGGCGCCGAUCUCUAGCUGGUCUGCGAGGAUGAUCAGUCACACUGGAACGGAGCAACGGCCCAGACUCGUACGGCAGGCAGCAGUGGGGAAUAUUGCACAAUGGGCGCAAGCCUGAUGCAGCCAUGCCGCGUGUAUGAAGAAGGCCUUAGGGUUGUAAAGUACUUUCAGCGGGGAGGCGUUACCCGCAGAAGAAGCACCGGAUAACUCCGUGCCAGCCGCCGCGGUAAUAC
rnacentral:rRNA from 1 species